rnacentral:rRNA from 1 species
UACGUAGGGUGCAAGCGUUAAUCGGAAUUACUGGGCGUAAAGCGUGCGCAGGCGGUUGUGUAAGUCUGAUGUGAAAGCCCCGGGCUCAACCUGGGAACGGCAUUGGAGACUGCACAGCUAGAGUGCGUCAGAGGGGGGUAGAAUUCCACGUGUAGCAGUGAAAUGCGUAGAGAUCAUGAGGAAGACCAGUGGCGAAGGCGGGUCUCUGGACAGUUCCUGACGCUGAGGCGCGAAAGCGUGGGGAGCAAACGGG